AGCAGCCGCGGUAAUUCCAGCUCCAAUAGCGUAUAUUAAAGUUGUUGCAGUUAAAAAGCUCGUAGUUGAAUUUCGGGACCAAUAUGUCGGUCGUGCUUCGGUACGUACUUGCAUUAUUGGUUUCUCCCUUCUGAAGAACCUUGAUGUCAUUAAUUUGGUGUCUUGGGGAAUCAGGACUGUUACUUUGAAAAAAUUAGAGUGUUUAAAGCAGGCUCACGCUUGAAUACAUUAGCAUGGAAUAAUGAAAUAGGACGUUUGAUUCUAUUUUGUUGGUUUCUAGGAUCGACGUAAUGAUUAAUAGGGAUAGUUGGGGGCAUUAGUAUUCAAUUGUCAGAGGUGAAAUUCUUGGAUUUAUUGAAGACUAACUACUGCGAAAGCAUUUGCCAAGGAUGUUUUCAUUAAUCAAGAACGAAAGUUAGGGGAUCGAAGACGAUCAGAUACCGUCGUAGUCUUAACCAUAAACUAUGCCGACUAGGGAUCGGAUGAUGUUAUUUUUGAUGACUCAUUCGGCGCCUUAAC
rnacentral:rRNA from 1 species